rnacentral:lncRNA from 1 species
AUAACGUCUAAUUUGAUGACCUUAUACUUUGGCUUGGCUUGUGUGUUGUUGGUGGAAGUCUUGAACAGUGAGGACCAUGCACCCUUGAUUAAUGAUUAUGAAACGUCCACUUAAAUAUGUAUAAAGCUUAAUUGGAAUUAUAGUAGUAUUAUGGUCAUCAAUUUAUUUAUUUUUCUGUCUUAUUUCAUUUAAGUUGCUUUGGAAUGCUUAUAAAAUUAAGUUAUGUAUGCUUAUUUCACUCAAGGUUUAUGGGAGCUUAUUGUCAUCAAAACCUUCUAUCUCUCUUUCUCUUCCUCCUCUCUUGUGUUCUCUCUGCUGCAUAUUCUUCUUACCCUUCCACACCUUGUUCUUCACCCUUGCACCGAAAUGGCCUCUUGGAAGAAGACCAUCACAACACCCUUAAAAAUAUCAAAGUAUAGCUUCAUUGUGUCUAGGGCUGAAGCUAGGCCAAGAGCAUUCUCUCCCUCCACUUAACUUUAGUUAAACCCAACCCUCUACAUCAACAUCUCGAAUAUAGCCUCAUUCUCCCCAUUCUUCACCAAUUCAACUUUCAUCAUCUUCAUCUCAUUCCUUUCUAUUUCUUACUUUGAUAACACCCACAAUGUAACCUGUACAAGGUUCAAGAAACCCAUGUAAAAUACUUAACUUCAUGACUCAUGUUUUUAUCUUCAAUAGCUAAUGAAAUCCAUGGAGAACAUA